AAGCAGCUUGCUGUUUCGCUGACGAGUGGCGGACGGGUGAGUAAUGUCUGGGAAACUGCCUGAUGGAGGGGGAUAACUACUGGAAACGGUAGCUAAUACCGCAUAACGUCGCAAGACCAAAGAGGGGGACCUUCGGGCCUCUUGCCAUCGGAUGUGCCCAGAUGGGAUUAGCUAGUAGGUGGGGUAACGGCUCACCUAGGCGACGAUCCCUAGCUGGUCUGAGAGGAUGACCAGCCACACUGGAACUGAGACACGGUCCAGACUCCUACGGGAGGCAGCAGUGGGGAAUAUUGCACAAUGGGCGCAAGCCUGAUGCAGCCAUGCCGCGUGUAUGAAGAAGGCCUUCGGGUUGUAAAGUACUUUCAGCGGGGAGGAAGGGAGUAAAGUUAAUACCUUUGCUCAUUGACGUUACCCGCAGAAGAAGCACCGGCUAACUCCGUGCCAGCAGCCGCGGUAAUACGGAGGGUGCAAGCGUUAAUCGGAAUUACUGGGCGUAAAGCGCACGCAGGCGGUUUGUUAAGUCAGAUGUGAAAUCCCCGGGCUCAACCUGGGAACUGCAUCUGAUACUGGCAAGCUUGAGUCUCGUAGAGGGGGGUAGAAUUCCAGGUGUA
rnacentral:rRNA from 1 species